rnacentral:rRNA from 3 species
UUAAAUUGAAGAGUUUGAUCAUGGCUCAGAUUGAACGCUGGCGGCAGGCCUAACACAUGCAAGUCGAACGGUAACAGGAAGCAGCUUGCUGCUUCGCUGACGAGUGGCGGACGGGUGAGUAAUAU